rnacentral:rRNA from 1 species
CGGGGUGCAGCAGUAAGGAAUAUUGGUCAAUGGAGGCAACUCUGAACCAGCCAUGCCGCGUGCAGGAAGAAGGCCCUAUGGGUCGUAAACUGCUUUUGUACCAGAGAAAACCACAGUACGUGUACUGUGUUGAUAGUAUGGUAAGAAUAAGCAUCGGCUAACUUCGUGCCAGCAGCCGCGGUAAGACGAAGGAUGCAAGCGUUAUCCGGAUUCAUUGGGUUUAAAGGGUGCGUAGGCGGACUGAUAAGUCAGUGGUGAAAUCUCUCGGCUUAACCGAGAAACUGCCAUUGAUACUGUUAGUCUAGAGUAUAGAUGACGUUGGCGGAAUAUGACAUGUAGUGGUGAAAUACUUAGAUAUGUCAUAGAACACCGAUUGCGAAGGCAGCUAACGAAACUAUAACUGACGCUGAGGCACGAAAGUGCGGGGAUCAAACAGGAUUAGAUACCCUAGU